rnacentral:rRNA from 2 species
GGGGUGUGACUGCGUACCUUUUGUAUAAUGGGUCAGCGACUUAUAUUCUGUAGCAAGGUUAACCGAAUAGGGGAGCCGAAGGGAAACCGAGUCUUAACUGGGCGUUAAGUUGCAGGGUAUAGACCCGAAACCCGGUGAUCUAGCCAUGGGCAGGUUGAAGGUUGGGUAACACUAACUGGAGGACCGAACCGACUAAUGUUGAAAAAUUAGCGGAUGACUUGUGGCUGGGGGUGAAAGGCCAAUCAAACCGGGAGAUAGCUGGUUCUCCCCGAAAGCUAUUUAGGUAGCGCCUCGUGAAUUCAUCUUCGGGGGUAGAGCACUGUUUCGGCUAGGGGGUCAUCCCGACUUACCAACCCGAUGCAAACUGCGAAUACCGAAGAAUGUUAUCACGGGAGACACACGGCGGGUGCUAACGUCCGUCGUGAAGAGGGAAACAACCCAGACCGCCAGCUAAGGUCCCAAAGUCAUGGUUAAGUGGGAAACGAUGUGGGAAGGCACAGACAGCCAGGAUGUUGGCUUAGAAGCAGCCAUCAUUUAAAGAAAGCGUAAUAGCUCACUGGUCGAGUCGGCCUGCGCGGAAGAUGUAACGGGGCUAAACCAUGCACCGAAGCUGCGGCAGCGACACUAUGUGUUGUUGGGUAGGGGAGCGUUCUGUAAGCCGUUGAAGGUGUGUCGUGAGGCAUGCUGGAGGUAUCAGAAGUGCGAAUGCUGACAUAAGUAACGAUAAUGCGGGUGAAAAACCCGCACGCCGGAAGACCAAGGGUUCCUGUCCAACGUUAAUCGGGGCAGGGUGAGUCGACCCCUAAGGCGAGGCCGAAAGGCGUAGUCGAUGGGAAACAGGUUAAUAUUCCUGUACUUGGUGUUACUGCGAAGGGGGGACGGAGAAGGCUAUGUUAGCCGGGCGACGGUUGUCCCGGUUUAAGCAUGUAGGCGGAGGUUCCAGGUAAAUCCGGUACCUUAUUAACGCUGAGGUGUGAUGACGAGGCACUACGGUGCUGAAGUAACAAAUGCCCUGCUUCCAGGAAAAGCCUCUAAGCAUCAGGUAACACGAAAUCGUACCCCAAACCGACACAGGUGGUCAGGUAGAGAAUACCAAGGCGCUUGAGAGAACUCGGGUGAAGGAACUAGGCAAAAUGGUGCCGUAACUUCGGGAGAAGGCACGCUGAUAUGUAGGUGAAGUGAUUUACUCAUGGAGCUGAAAUCAGUCGAAGAUACCAGCUGGCUGCAACUGUUUAUUAAAAACACAGCACUGUGCAAACACGAAAGUGGACGUAUACGGUGUGACGCCUGCCCGGUGCCGGAAGGUUAAUUGAUGGGGUUAUCCGUAAGGAGAAGCUCUUGAUCGAAGCCCCGGUAAACGGCGGCCGUAACUAUAACGGUCCUAAGGUAGCGAAAUUCCUUGUCGGGUAAGUUCCGACCUGCACGAAUGGCGUAAUGAUGGCCAGGCUGUCUCCACCCGAGACUCAGUGAAAUUGAACUCGCUGUGAAGAUGCAGUGUACCCGCGGCAAGACGGAAAGACCCCGUGAACCUUUACUAUAGCUUGACACUGAACACUGGUCCUUGAUGUGUAGGAUAGGUGGGAGGCUUUGAAGUGUGGACGCCAGUCUGCAUGGAGCCAUCCUUGAAAUACCACCCUUUAAUGGCUGGUGUUCUAACGUAGACCCGUAAUCCGGGUUGCGGACAGUGUCUGGUGGGUAGUUUGACUGGGGCGGUCUCCUCCUAAAGAGUAACGGAGGAGCACGAAGGUUAGCUAAUCCUGGUCGGACAUCAGGAGGUUAGUGCAAAGGCAUAAGCUAGCUUGACUGCGAGAGUGACGGCUCGAGCAGGUGCGAAAGCAGGUCUUAGUGAUCCGGUGGUUCUGAAUGGAAGGGCCAUCGCUCAACGGAUAAAAGGUACUCCGGGGAUAACAGGCUGAUACCGCCCAAGAGUUCAUAUCGACGGCGGUGUUUGGCACCUCGAUGUCGGCUCAUCACAUCCUGGGGCUGAAGUAGGUCCCAAGGGUAUGGCUGUUCGCCAUUUAAAGUGGUACGCGAGCUGGGUUUAGAACGUCGUGAGACAGUUCGGUCCCUAUCUGCCGUGGGCGCUGGAGAAUUGAGGGGGGCUGCUCCUAGUACGAGAGGACCGGAGUGGACGCAUCACUGGUGUUCGGGUUGUCAUGCCAAUGGCAUUGCCCGGUAGCUAAAUGCGGAAGAGAUAAGUGCUGAAAGCAUCUAAGCACGAAACUUGCCCCGAGAUGAGUUCUCCCUGACCCUUUAAGGGUCCUGAAGGAACGUUGAAGACGACGACGUUGAUAGGUCGGGUGUGUAAGUGUAGCGAUACAUUGAGCUAACCGAUACUAAUGAACCGUGAGGCUUAACCUU